rnacentral:rRNA from 1 species
GACGUCGCAUGCUCCCGGCCGCCAUGGCGGCCGCGGGAAUUCNNNUNCCUACGGGAGGCAGCAGUGGGGAAUUUUCCGCAAUGGGCGAAAGCCUGACGGAGCAACGCCGCGUGAGGGAUGAAGGCCUCUGGGCUGUAAACCUCUUUUAUCAAGGAAGAAGAUCUGACGGUACUUGAUGAAUAAGCCACGGCUAAUUCCGUGCCAGCAGCCGCGGUAAUACGGGAGUGGCAAGCGUUAUCCGGAAUUAUUGGGCGUAAAGCGUCCGCAGGCGGCCCUUCAAGUCUGCUGUUAAAAAGUGGAGCUUAACUCCAUCAUGGCAGUGGAAACUGUUGGGCUUGAGUGUGGUAGGGGCAGAGGGAAUUCCCGGUGUAGCGGUGAAAUGCGUAGAUAUCGGGAAGAACACCAGUGGCGAAGGCGCUCUGCUGGGCCAUCACUGACGCUCAUGGACGAAAGCCAGGGGAGCGAAGGGGAUUAGAUACCCCUGUAGUCCUGGCCGUAAACGAUGAACACUAGGUGUCGGGGGAAUCGACCCCCUCGGUGUCGUAGCCAACGCGUUAAGUGUUCCGCCUGGGGAGUACGCACGCAAGUGUGAAACUCAAAGGAAUUGACGGAUCACUAGUGAAUUCGCGGCCGCCUGCAGGUCGACCAUAUGGGAGAGCUCCCAACGCGUUGGAUGCAUAGCUUGAGUAUUCUAUAGUGUCACCUAAAUAGCUUGGCGUAAUCAUGGUCAUAGCUGUUUCCUGUGUGAAAUUGUUAUCCGCUCACAAUUCCACACAACAUACGAGCCGGAAGCAUAAAGUGUAAAGCCUNNNGUGCCUAAUGAGUGAGCUAACUCACAUUAAUUGCGUUGCGCUCACUGCCCGCUUUCCAGUCGGGAAACCUGUCGUGCCAGNUGCAUUAAUGAAUCGGCCAACGCGC